AAAUAAUGUGUGUUUCAACCGAGGAUAUACAACUUAGAUGUGUAACGUGAAGGAGUGAGAUAUAUAAACCAGGCUAGGGAUUAACCGAGUUCCUGAAGACCAUUCUGGCAACUCAGCACACAGAUGUGGAUGGGAUAUUGAGCGUACGACAGCUCGCUUAGCCAUGCAAUUGAUAUUCUUUUUCAAUUUGAAAACUCCCAGCAUUUAUUAUUCCACACAUUAUUUGUAUAUAUGAGGGAAAAUAAUGUAUUAUUGUAACCUUUUUAUUUUUUUCACA